AGUGAACGCUGGCGGUAGGCCUAACACAUGCAAGUCGAACGGCAGCACAGUAAGAGCUUGCUCUUACGGGUGGCGAGUGGCGGACGGGUGAGGAAUACAUCGGAAUCUACUUUUUCGUGGGGGAUAACGUAGGGAAACUUACGCUAAUACCGCAUACGACCUACGGGUGAAAGCAGGGGAUCUUCGGACCUUGCGCGAUUGAAUGAGCCGAUGUCGGAUUAGCUAGUUGGCGGGGUAAAGGCCCACCAAGGCGGCGAUCCGUAGCUGGUCUGAGAGGAUGGUCAGCCACACUGGAACUGAGACACGGUCCAGACUCCUACGGGAGGCAGCAGUGGGGAAUGUUGGACAAUGGGCGCAAGCCUGAUCCAGCCAUACCGCGUGGGUGAAGAAGGCCUUCGGGUUGUAAAGCCCUUUUGUUGGGAAAGAAAAGCAGCAGGUUAAUACCCCGCUGUUCUGACGGUACCCAAAGAAUAAGCACCGGCUAACUUCGUG
rnacentral:rRNA from 1 species